rnacentral:rRNA from 1 species
CCUACGGGAGGCAGCAGUGAGGAAUAUUGGUCAAUGGCCGGAAGGCUGAACCAGCCAUGCCGCGUGAAGGUCAGUGCCCUAUGGGCGUUAAACUUCUUUUGUGCGGGAGCAAUAAUGGUCACGUGUGGCCAGACGAGAGUACCGUACGAAUAAGCAUCGGCUAACUCCGUGCCAGCAGCCGCGGUAAUACGGGGGAUGCAAGCGUUAUCCGGAUUUACUGGGUGUAAAGGGAGCGUAGACGGCGCUGCAAGUCCGGAGUGAAAGCCCAUGGCUUAACCAUGGUACUGCUCUGGAAACUGUGGAGCUUGAGUGCGGGAGGGGCAGGCGGAAUUCCUAGUGUAGCGGUGAAAUGCGUAGAUAUUAGGAGGAACACCGGCGGCGAAGGCGGCCUGCUGGACCGUAACUGACGUUGAGGCUCGAAAGCGUGGGGAGCAAACAGGAUUAGAUACCCUUGUAGUC